rnacentral:rRNA from 1 species
AUUGAACGCUGGCGGCAGGCUUAACACAUGCAAGUCGAGCGAGCGGCGGACGGGUGAGUAAUGUCUGGGAAACUGCCUGCUGGAGGGGGAUAACUACUGGAAACGGUAGCUAAUACCGCAUACCAUCAGAUGUGCCCAGAGGGGCUUUGCUAGGAGGUGGGGUAAUGGCUCACGUAGGACACGAUCCCUAGCUGGGCUGCGAGGAUGACCAGCAAAACGGGAACUGAGACACGGUCCAGACUACUAGGUGAGGCAGCAGUGGGGAAUAUUGCACAAUGGGCGCAAGCCUGAUGCAGCCAUGCCGCGUGUGUGAAGAAGGCCUUCGGGUUGUAAAGCACUUUCAGCGAGGAGGCGUUACUCGCAGAAGAAGCACCGGCUAACUCCGUGCCAGCAGCCGCGGUAAUUC